AAAUUAGGAGUUAUCGGAGGUUAUGAAUGAGAAUAAAAAAACCGACAAGUUUCAAGCUUUUACGGGAAAGAGCUACACAUUAGGUGGUGGGUGAUCAUUCUUGAAAAUCUUAAUAUUGGUUUUUAGUGGUGGGUGAUCUUAGCUGGAUAUUUAUUGAUUCAAAAUCUUAAUAUUGAUUUUUAGUUUUUUUUUUAUUUCAAUUAAAAUCAACACUUUCUAGGUUUUUUUUUUUGGGUUUAAUUUUAUUUUUAAUAUUUUAUAUGUUUUUUUAUUAGGUUUCGAACUGUGCUAUCCCAUCCCCUACUCUUAAUAUUGUAUAUAAAAAAGAUUGUUAG
rnacentral:lncRNA from 1 species